rnacentral:rRNA from 1 species
UACGAAGGGGGCUAGCGUUGCUCGGAAUCACUGGGCUUAAAGCGCGUGUAGGCGGGCCGGCACGUCGGUCGCUGAAAUCCCCCGGCUCAACCGGGGAACGGGCACCGAUACGACCGGCCUGGAGGGGGGUAGGGGGCGCUGGAACUCACGGUGGAGCGGUGAAAUGCGUUGAGAUCGUGAGGAACGCCCGCGGCGAAAGCGAGCGCCUGGACCCUUUCUGACGCUGAGACGCGAAAGCCAGGGGAGCGAACGGG